AGUAAAUAUUACUUUCUUAUUUUACACAAUUUAAAAAUAUUUUUUCAUUCAUAAGAUAAGCAAAAGUUAAUGAGCACAAUUCUAUUAAGUGGUAUAAAAUCGACCAAAAUGUGUAAAUUUAAUAUAUUGGUUCUUCUUCUUUACUGCCGUAGACACCGCUUUCGCGAUUAUAACCGAGUUAACAACAGCGCACCAGUCGUUUCUUAUUUUCGCUACGUGGCGCCAAUUGGAACCUCAAAGCGAAGCCAGGUCCUUCUUCACCUGGUCUUUCCAACGGAGUGGAGGUCUUCCUCUUCCUCUGCUUCCCCCGGCGGGUACUGCGUCGAAUAUUUUCAGAGCUGGAGUGUUUUCGUCCAUUCGGACAACAUGACCUAGCCAUCGUAGCCGCUUUCUUUUAAUUUGCUGAACUUUUUACAAUGUCUCAUACAGCUCAUCGUUCCAUCGAAUGCGAUAUUUGCCGUGGCCAACGCGCAAGGGAUCAUAAUAGCAGGAUGCCGUAGGAUUUUUGGAUUUUUGCCGUGGAAACGUGUCAGCUGAUUGCUCUCUCACAUCGCAGGGUUGCCAAUCUCGAUAUACUGUAGUAAUUAUAAAUGUUGUCUUCUAUAUGUUUGAAAUUUUCUUAAAAUAACUCAAAAUCAGAGUCGAAUGCUAUUAUUUAUAAAUAUAUAAACUAUUUUUAAUAGUUUGUUUUCAGUUUUGAUAUUUUACAUUAUAAAAAAUUGUAAUUGAAAACAUAGAUGUGUACAAAACUAUAUAUGCGUAUUGAGCAAUGGCAACAUUGUUCAAAUGAAAACAAACAAAGAUGGCUGAUUUCUGCGUUUUUACCACGGGCUCAACUUUUAACACAUUUUGCUCGCUAAGGAAGGAAAAGGAAGGAAGAGAGUAGCGUUUUUGACUGUUUCUGCUAUAAAUCUUUCGCAGAACCUUUCUCUCGAAAACUCGCAACGUCGACUCAUCAGUUGUUGUCAUCGUCCAAGCCUCUGCACCAUAUAGCAGGACGAGAAUAAUGAGUGACUUAUAGAGUUUUGUUUUUGUUCGUUGUUUUGUUGUUGCACUGUACUAGUACUGGUUCCUAAAUAGACGAAAUUAUCUGCAACUUAAAAGUUAUGACUGUCAAUAGUGACGUGAGAGCCGAGACGCGAGUGCGACGACUUUUUGUUUAAUGACUAGAGAUAUUUCGUCUUGCCAAUUAGUUUGUAGAUUUAAUCUUUCACACAAUACGCUCGAUAGAACCUUAUACGCGAUGUUGAGGAGGCUUAUCCCACGGUAGUUGGCGCAGAUUGUGGGGUCUCCUUUUUUAUGGAUUGGGCAUAGCACACUUAAAUUCGAGUCGUUGGGCAUGCUUUCGUCCGACCAUAUUUUACAAAGAAGCUGAUGCAUGCUCCUUGUCAGUUCUUCGCCGCCGUGUUUGAACAGCUCGGCCAGCAAUCCAUUGGCCUCCGCCGCUUUAUUGUUUUUCAGGCGGGUAAUUGGUAUUCGAACUUCUUCAUAUUGUUUAUAUUAUAAAAAAAUCGACCAGAAAAUGGGAAAUAAUUAUAGUAAGGAAAUGGGUUGUAGUAUACCACGUGUAUAUCAGUGUAUGAUUUCACUAAUUUUUAGCGCCCGACCGCGCUAGGACUAGGAAAAAUGGCUACUUCAUCUCAUUAAGUAUCACACAUAUUGACCAUCAUAAAUAGUUUAAAGUCAAGUGCAACAUCGAUAAUAAUUAUGUAUAUGGUGUAUAUUAGUAUUAGGAGGACUAGAUUGAUGUCAUUACUCAAGUUCACUCGAUAACAAGUUUCUAUCUAUUGGCCGAUAUACUGGUAUUCGGUAUAAAGUCUACAGAGUAUAUAGGAGAUGGAGUUAUUUGUCAACAGAUUUUGUAUUUAAUUCUAGUAUUUUCAGUAUUAUACGUUUACUUAAUUCUCCUUAUUACCUAUAUAUACGGUAUAAAGUCAAUCGGAAGUUUGAAAUGUUUAUAUUAAGUACAUAUAUGCCGUAAUAGUAACCCGAUUUUAUAUGUAUAUGUAUUUCUGGCAUUACGAGAACAAUUCACUUUUAUUAAGAUGCUUCACAUAUUGAUCGAUAUAGAGGGGAACUGGUAGUUUGAAAAUCUCUAUUUUAAGUAUAUGGGACAUUUUUAAACUUAAGACACAUUUAUCAGGAAUAUAUUUUCUCCGAAUUUCACUAAUCUAACAAACUAACAGAAAUCUACAUAUACUUUGGUAUAAAAUUAGGGCACGAUUCCGAUUACUUUGGCGGAGGGGUAAAAAAAAACGAAUUUCCGUAUAAAUGGGGUAUCUACGGAUAGGGGAGCUCCUCCAGAGGAGGAAUAUCCAAAAAUAAUGUAAAAAUUACUAAUAUUUUUUAAAAUAUUCACGAUUAAAAGUUCAAAAAUUUGCACUAAGAAAACAUAAUAUUUCUCUAUGUUUCACAAAAUUUUUUCACAUUUUUUACUUUGUAUAUUUAAAUACACACUCUAAGCUUUGAAAUAAGCUCUCAUUUCACAUUUAUUUUUCAAUUUUUAAGCUAAAUUUUGUAAUUUAAAAAUCACUUAGCACACUCAUCGUUGAAAAGGUUAGAUUGUUUACAAUUAUGAGGAAAACGAGCCUUGCCACAUCUUAAACAGUAAAUAUGUAGGAUUUUUAACAAUUUUUCUUUGUUUGUUUUAUCGCGUGAUUCUUUUUUCUAUAUUAACCAUAAAAACAUACUUUCUACAUAAGUAUAUGUGUAAUACGUAAUUUAUGUGACUGAAGUACUUUCGCGAAGUACUCCUUUAUGCAUUGGCGGCCUUCGGCCGCGCUUUAAAAAAAUAACCCUGGUCGAGCGAAUACCCGGGGUGACUGAAGUACUUUCGCGUAGUACUCCUUUCUGCGUUGGCGGCCUUCGGCCGCGCUCUAAAAAAAUAACCCUGGCCGAGCGAAUACCCGGGGUGACUGAAGUACUAUCGCGUAGCACUCCUUUCUGCGUU